rnacentral:sRNA from 1 species
GAGAGCCUGCGGGACCCCCACUCCCCCCACUUAGAGGUUGAACACGGCGGGGCUGCAGGGUCCAGGUGGAGUUCUACGUUAACGAGAACACCUUCAAGGAGCGGCUCAAGCUGUUCUUCAUCAAAAACCAAAGAUCGA